AAUAGAUACCCCGGUAGUCCACGCCGUAAACGUUGGGCGCUAGGUGUGGGUCCCUUCCACGGGGUCUGUGCCGCAGCUAACGCAUUAAGCGCCCCGCCUGGGGAGUACGGCCGCAAGGCUAAAACUCAAAGGAAUUGACGGGGGGCCCGCACAAGCGGCGGAGCAUGUUGCUUAAUUCGACGCAACGCGAAGAACCUUACCAAGGUUUUGACAUGGACCCGAAAACUCAUGGAGACAUGGGGUCCUUCGGGGCGGUUCACAGGUGGUGCAUGGCUGUCGUCAGCUCGUGUCGUGAGAUGUUGGGUUAAGUCCCGCAACGAGCGCAACCCUCGUCCAAUGUUGCCAGCAGGUAAGGCUGGGGACUCAUUGGAGACUGCCGGGGUUCAACUCGGAGGAAGGUGGGGAUGACGUCAAGUCAUCAUGCCCCUUAUGUCUUGGGCUGCAAACAUGCUACAAUGGCCGGUACAGAGGGCUGCGAACCCGCGAGGGCGAGCGAAUCCCGGAAAGCCGGUCUCAGUUCGGAUCGGGGUCUGCACUCGGCCCGUGAACCGG
rnacentral:rRNA from 1 species